UCUUGGUGGCCAUUUCAUAGUA
rnacentral:misc_RNA from 1 species